ensembl:lncRNA
CCUGGGGAGGUUGUGGAGUCCGGUUCCCCGGGCCCCGUUCCAGUUGCGUGUGGGUGCUUUGCAGUGGGGCCUUGGCAUUCUGUCUGGCUGUGUGAUCUGUGCUCUUGUUGCAGGGUGAAGGCUGCAGAGAGGAUUGGCUGGAGCAGGUUCAGGCUGGAGGCAGGAUCCUGGCGGUGUGAGUGGGGCGCCCCUGUGGAGCAAGGGUGGAAGGUGCGUGGCAGGUCCUGUCCCGGAGGAGUGGAGUUAAGGGUCCUGGCGUGGCUGUUUUCCUGCAUGGAAGAUGGAGAUCCUGGGAGCUGUGAUGAGGAGGAGCAGAGCCAGCAGUGGCUCCUGUGUGGCAAUGGCUGCUUUGUGUGGUGCUCCUGGGCUGAAAGGAGGAGGAGAAAAAAGUUUUUAGUGUGGUUCUUCAAAGCUCAGUUUCCCUUCAGCAAGAAGCUAUGGGGAGCUUCUAGGUCUAAUGCUGUUCCUCUGCUUUUGAGCUGAAUUUCUGCAUGGCAGCCUUUCUCGAAUGCAGUAGGGCUUCCCUGGCUUGAAGAUGGGUGUGCUGUCCUGAGGGAGGAGCAGUGUUGACUGUCUUACAGUGACCUUCUGCUUUCCUUUAAGAAGAGUCCACUAAGAACUGUAUUGGGUUUUUCAGUAGGUAACUCAGGAGAGGGCUUCUCGGUGAAAUCCUUUGUGUUGAAUUGCAGUAAGUUGAGUAUGUGAACCUUCCUCCCAAACUGAGACCGAACGCCAGCAAAAAUGCCAAAUAUGUUGUCCUGUUUCCCUUUAUAACAAAAGAUGUGGUACUUUGCUGGGGUUGCGCCUUUGUGUUCAAUGUUUGUAUGCAGUAUAUUGUAUCCUCAUGUGGGAGUCUGCCGUUAUUAAC